AUCAAUGAUUUGUUAAACAGCUGCUCCUGAUGGAGUGAGGAGGAGGAAUGAGGUGAUCACACAUGAAACCUGCCACCAAUGAUUACGUGAGACUAAAAGGAAGUACACUAACCCACAGAGGAACACCUUUGGCAUUUCAUAACAUACCACAGGACAAGGCUGAUCAAGCCCUGGAGGUCCCUGCUCUCCCUUCUGUCCUUUUAGACCUUUCUUUCCUAUUGAGCCUCUCUCGCCCUGCAUGGAGCCAUAAACAAGUACACAGAAGAAAGCCCUGGGAAACCCUGUCACAGGACAGCCAUGUUAACAAAACUUACCCUCUGUCCAGGUGGACCUCUCUCUCCAGCAUCCCCCUUUUCUCCUUUUACUGCUUCACCAGUUUCACCCACAGAACCCACCUUGGAUCCAGGCAGUCCAUGAUAUCCCUGGAAUAUUUGGAAGAAGCAGGCCCAGGGGGUCCGGGAGGCCCUGGAGGGCCAGGCAAGGAGAUAAUCUGGGCCUAUAAGACAGUUAUCAAGAUCCAUGCUGGUAUGUUUGAUUAAGGCUGGACCUAAGCUGAAUAGUGGGCCUUCAAGUGCACGGUUGAAGAUCUUUGGUUGAAAAAUGUACCUGCAGAGCUUUGAAACGAACAGCAAAAUCAUCAGUUUCUGAGAAUCCAGUUGCUCCUUUUUCUCCAGGCAAACCCUGAGGAACAAACAAACAGAAAUGACAAUGUUAAGCAACAUAGGGAAUAGAAAUGUUUAAUGGGUGAGAGACUUUGAAAAAUUCUGACCUGGGGUCCUGGAUCUCCUUUUUCACCCUAUAAAAUAGGACCAGAAUUACUAUAUAAUGUUACUAUUUACAUGUAAUAAACUGGAUUUUCGUGCAA
ensembl:processed_transcript